rnacentral:lncRNA from 1 species
CUCCGGUAGCCGGACAGCCGGUCAGCGCUGCGAGGACUCUGGCGGGCUGGGAGGUGCCGCCCUCCCGUACGGGACUUCCUGUCGGCCAUGUUGGCCAGGCGGUGCGCUGCAGGGUGCGGUCGGCUGGUGCCGGACUUCGUGCCGGCCAUGUUGGGCCCCUCGGCGUGCUGUGGCGCGUCGUCUGCGGGAGGCCUCCGAGCGGCCGUUCCGGGCCGCCGGUGUGCUGCGGGCCGCAGCUCCCCCGCCUUGCGUGGCAGCAGCCCCUGGGAGCGGUUGGAUGGCGGGGCUGGGCAGGUAUCACCUGGCUGAGGAUUCCGGCUUCUCUCAGAAGAUCCUGGCUCACCCAUGGGAUCUUUGAUAGUUGCUGGAGCUCUGGUGCAUCUCAUGAGACUUUCUGGUGAGAUGACAGGAGAGGCUGAGAGAGAGGUGGGCUUGUGUAGCUUUGAGAAGAGAAGGCUUGAGGGGGAUCUUAUCAAUGCAUAUAAAUACCUGAUGGGAGGCUGUAAAGAAGACAGAGCCAGACUCUUCUCAGCGGUACCCAGGGACAGGAGACGAGGCAAUGGGCACAAAUUGAGCUACAUGAGAUUUCAUGGCUUCUCCACAGUUGGAGUGGUUUGCAGUUGGAGCUGCUGGGAAGGCCCUACCAGUGGCUCGUGAAGAAGACAUCUUUGACUACAUCCACUGGAAGCACCUAGAGCCAAAGGACUGGAAGUAAAGGAAACACUUUUCUGAGACAAUACCAAACAGCAUGGUGGAUGUGCGUCUAACGCUAAUAUAGCGUUGCAGGAGGCAGCUGAGAGUAGUCGAUAGCCCAGUGCUCCGGACAUGCCAAGGCAGAAGGAGGAGGACCAGCUACUGAGCUUCCGCAGAGAGUGGAGAAAGAGGAGGAGAAUCCUGAUGGGAGAUUGUAUGCUGUCUAAAUAUUCCUGAGGCUUUGCCUUGUGAUGCUUUUCUCCUG